ensembl:lncRNA
AAAGAAAAGUAGCGGGGGCCAAUAAGUUUUGGGCGGGCUCAUCUAGCUCCGUAGGCGCGUUAGGUGCGUUGAACCAUUUUUGUGACACACAAUGAUCAAGCGGCAGGCUAGGCGCGUUACGUGCGUAAUGCGUUCAGUGUGGCCAUACCUUAAUAGAUUAACAAUCAUAUUUGAACAGUACUUCAUCACAGUAAUAUUCUAACAGUACGUCAUCACACUAAUAGAUUAACAUUAACAGUCAUAUGUUAACAGUGCAUCAUCACAGUAAUAUAUUAACAGUACAACAUCACAUUGAUAAUGUGUUUAAUGUUUAAUGCUGACUUGUACUUUCUUGCUGUCUAGGUUAGUAGUUAAAUCAUGAAGAGGCUUCUCACGUUCAGCUUCCUAAACCAGGAUGCAGUGGAUCGCAGUUCGUUUAUAAUCCUUACAAACAGGCUUGGGACUUCAGCUAACUAAUGAUGCUAUAGCCUAUUUGCUUAAUAACAAUUACAUUCAUACUUAACUUUAUCUUGAUAACAACCAUUUAUCCGUAAAAAUUGUAAAUCAAUUAGAUCACUGUAUUUGUGAUAGAUUUGAUUAACUCACUGGCUUAAACCUGUAAUCUUUCACUGAUGCUUGGAAACCAUGGCAACACGACCUCGCAACAUAAACUAGCACAAUCGAGCUAGGCUGCUCUAGCAUGAAUAUUUUUUUGUAUUUUUACAAAAAAUCGGAAUUGGAUUAAAUAUUAAUGUUUUUAAUCAUCCAAAUGUAAAAAUCGCUGUACUCUUGUUUGGGGUUAUUUGGUCAAUAUAAUCCCCCAAAAAAUCUGAAAAUAUUCUCAAUAUACUGUUUAUAGGUUUGGUCCUUUCAUUUAGUGAAGUUAUUGGGCUUUGUGUGACCAGAGUUCAUAUCUUUGAUGAUCUUCCUCCACUAGCGUCCUGAUAUCAGAUGUCUUAUGCUGAAAGACAAAACACACACACACGCACACGCACGCACACGCACGCACACACACACGCACACACACACACACACAUAAAACACACACACACACACACACACACUAACACACACACACACACACACACAUUCAUAAACGCACAUAUCAACACAUUUAGCUGAACGGUAUAUAUCUAAACAUAUAUAUGGAUGAAGAUUAGAUAUAGCUAAAAAAUAUGCUGAACAUUAUAUAUAAUUGAACGUUACAUCUUUCUGAACGUUAUGUAUAAGUGAACAUUAUGUAUAGCUGAAAAUUUUUGAUAAUGAUGUAAUGCUGAAUAUAUAUUAAAGCCAGCUGAACAUAAUAUUGUAAGAACAAUUCAUUAAGGGUUACAUGAAACUUGGUCGCUGUAGCAGUGUGUGAGC